rfam:Myotis lucifugus cont2.10997, whole genome shotgun sequence.
GAGACACCCUUCUGGGGCAAGACUUGCUUCAGUGGGGCUUUGGUGCUCACUGAGUCUGCCCCUUGAGUGUGUCCCU